UACGUAGGGGGCAAGCGUUGUCCGGAAUCAUUGGGCGUAAAGAGCGUGUAGGCGGCUCGAUAAGUCUGCUGUGAAAGUCCAGGGCUCAACCCUGGAAGGCCGGUGGAAACUGUCGGGCUAGAGUCCGGAAGAGGCGAGUGGAAUUCCCGGUGUAGCGGUGAAAUGCGCAGAUAUCUGGAGGAACACCGGUGGCGAAGGCGGCAUCCUGGACCGGUAUUGACACUGAGGCGCGAAAGCCAGGGGAGCAAACGGG
rnacentral:rRNA from 1 species